GUUGAACGCUGGCGGCAGGCCUAACACAUGCAAGUCGAACGAGUGGCGGACGGGUGAGUAAUGUCUGGGAGACUGCCUGCUGGCGGGGGAUGAAUAAUGGAAACGAUCGCUAAUAACGCCUACCAUCAGAUGUGCCCAGGUGGGAUUCGCUUGUUGGUGGGGUAACGGCUCACCAAGGCCACGAUCCCUAGCUGGUCUGAGAGGAUGACCAGCCACACUGGAACUGAGACACGGCCCAGACUCCUACGGGAGGCAGCAGUGGGGAAUAUUGGACAAUGGGCGAAAGCCUGACCCAGCCACGCCGCGUGUAUGAAGAAGGCUUUCGGGUUGUAAAGUACUUUCAGCGGGGAGGCGUUACCCGCAGAAGAAGCACCGGCUAACUCCGUGCCAGCAGCCGCGGUAAUUC
rnacentral:rRNA from 1 species